rnacentral:rRNA from 1 species
UACAGGGGGGGCAAGCGUUGUUCGGAAUUACUGGGCGUAAAGGGCCAGUAGGCGGCCAACUAAGUCCGACGUGAAAUCCCAAGGCUUAACCUUGGAACUGCGUCGGAUACUGGAUGGCUUGAAUUCGGGAGAGGGAUGCAGAAUUCCUGGUGUAGCGGUGAAAUGCGCAGAUAUCAGGAGGAACACCCGUGGCGAAAGCGGCUCUCUGGGACGGUACUGACGCUGAGACGCGAAAGCGUGGGGAGCAAACAGG